CAAACGAAGGUCCUCCCACUGCACGUGGCUAACCAAACCGUGUGCUUCGCGGGAGGCGAGCGUUCCGUGACAGGCGGACGUUUUCUAUAUGGAUGAUCUUGAAGCCCUUAAUAUGUUGGUUCAUAUUUUUAAAGGGUGACACAGAAGUACAAGGACUUAUGGUGUCUUAGAAGAGGCACUUGUACCCCUGGUAAUGGCGAAAUUUCUUGGGCUAAUGUUCUUGGUCCUAACAGGAUUAGCAAUAUUUCUUGUAGACAUAAAUAUGAGCACAUCCUUUCCUCCACACAACCCCUCACGUCAACAGCAACAAUUACCCACAACCACUGCUGGAACAGAUAGCGACUCAAAGAUGGCCUCUACUUCCACACAGCCAACCUCAUUCAACAGUCUCACCAACAGUAUCAGUCAAGAAUGAACUCAACUCAGCACAUGACAGGUGGGGUCAGCACACGGCUCCUCCCAGCGACUGUGCACCAGAGGAGAUACCAAAAAAAACAGAACUUUGCGGAAACUUUGAGUUUUAUAGAUUUUGCAGUUAAAUUCACUUCAGUGUGAAGACGUGUCCUCAGUCCCCAGGCUCACACUGAUUCAUGGGCGUGUAGGCUACAUUAUUGUCUUUCUGACUUCUGUAUUCUACAGUGAUGACAUGAAGAGAUUCUGGGGGGCUGUGCUGCUGUAACUAAUGCUGAAGGAGUUAAUGAAAUAUUAAUACUUGAUCUUUGGUGAUCAUCUGUUUUGUUUUUUAUUCUUCUUUUUCUUCUUCGUCUUUUAAACCACUGCCAAAAUAGCAUUAUAUAGUGCAUUAGGUAACGUCACCAAGUUGUGAGAUUCAGCAUUAAUAAACCAUAAUAUGGUUCAAAUAUAAUGUUGACAAAGUAACACCAUUACUGGAUCACUGGCUUGCUUCAGUGAAUAAAAGGUUUUGUCCACCUUGUUAUCCACAUAUAUGCAUAAAUGCAUAUGAAUAUGAUAUAUACAGUAUAUUGUGCAUUGGGAUUU